GACGAACGCUGGCGGCAUGCCUAAUACAUGCAAGUCGAGCGAACAGAUGAAGUGCUUGCACUUCUGACGUUAGCGGCGAACGGGUGAGUAACACGUAAGGAAUCUACCUAUAAGCGGGGGAUAACAUUCGGAAACGGGUGCUAAUACCGCAUAAUAUCUUCUUCCGCAUGGAAGAAGAUUGAAAGACGGCUCUGCUGUCACUUAUAGAUGACCUUGCGGUGCAUUAGUUAGUUGGUGGGGUAACGGCCUACCAAGACGAUGAUGCAUAGCCGACCGGAGAGGGUGAUCGGCCACAUUGGGACUGAGACACGGCCCAAACUCCUACGGGAGGCAGCAGCAGGGAAUCUUCCGCAAUGGGCGAAAGCCUGACGGAGCAAUGCCGCGUGAGUGAAGAAGGCCUUCGGGUCGUAAAACUCUGUUAUAAGAGAAGAACAAAUUGUAGAGUAACUGCUACAGUCUUGACGGUAUCUUAUCAGAAAGCCACGGCUAACUACGUGCCAGCAGCCGCAGUAA
rnacentral:rRNA from 1 species